GACGAACGCUGGCAGCGUGCUUAACACAUGCAAGUCGAACGGAAAGGCCCUGCUUUUGUGGGGUGCUCGAGUGGCGAACGGGUGAGUAACACGUGAGUAACCUGCCCUUGACUUUGGGAUAACUUCAGGAAACUGGGGCUAAUACCGGAUAGGAGCUCCUGCUGCAUGGUGGGGGUUGGAAAGUUUCGGCGGUUGGGGAUGGACUCGCGGCUUAUCAGCUUGUUGGUGGGGUAGUGGCUUACCAAGGCUUUGACGGGUAGCCGGCCUGAGAGGGUGACCGGCCACAUUGGGGCUGAGAUACGGCCCAGACUCCUACGGGAGGCAGCAGUGGGGAAUAUUGCACAAUGGGCGGAAGCCUGAUGCAGCAACGCCGCGUGCGGGAUGACGGCCUUCGGGUUGUAAACCGCUUUCGCCUGUGACGAAGCGUGAGUGACGGUAAUGGGUAAAGAAGCACCGGCUAACUACGUG
rnacentral:rRNA from 1 species